rnacentral:lncRNA from 1 species
GAUACUGUGUUGUCCGGUUUGGUGUCAAUUACUGGUUUACAUGUUAGGUAUAGUUGAAUGAUUGAGACCAAGGAAAAGGGCAAAAAAGUUAUGUGAAUUGAUAAAUGGAUAGUGUGGACAGCCUGACUAGAUAUCCUGAGAGAUGGUGGACAGACCGGGUCCGUAGGGAACCCUAUUGGGAAUGUGGUCUCUCAUACCGGACGGGGUAUGGAGACCUUAUGUGUUUUGGCACCCAUACCGGACGAGGUAUUGAGGAUUAUGGUUUUGGCGC